rnacentral:rRNA from 1 species
AUUGAACGCUGGCGGCAGGCCUAACACAUGCAAGUCGAGCGGAUGAAGGGAGCUUGCUCCUGGAUUCAGCGGCGGACGGGUGAGUAAUGCCUAGGAAUCUGCCUGGUAGUGGGGGAUAACGUCCGGAAACGGGCGCUAAUACCGCAUACGUCCUGAGGGAGAAAGUGGGGGAUCUUCGGACCUCACGCUAUCAGAUGAGCCUAGGUCGGAUUAGCUAGUUGGUGGGGUAAAGGCCUACCAAGGCGACGAUCCGUAACUGGUCUGAGAGGAUGAUCAGUCACACUGGAACUGAGACACGGUCCAGACUCCUACGGGAGGCAGCAGUGGGGAAUAUUGGACAAUGGGCGAAAGCCUGAUCCAGCCAUGCCGCGUGUGUGAAGAAGGUCUUCGGAUUGUAAAGCACUUUAAGUUGGGAGGAAGGGCAGUAAGUUAAUACCUUGCUGUUUUGACGUUACCAACCGAACAAGCACCGGCUAACUUCGUG